rnacentral:rRNA from 1 species
UACGAAGGGGGCUAGCGUUGUUCGGAUUUACUGGGCGUAAAGCGCACGUAGGCGGGUUCUUAAGUCGGUGGUGAAAUCCUGGAGCUCAACUCCAGAACUGCCUCCGAUACUGAGAGCCUCGAGUCCGGGAGAGGUGAGUGGAACUGCGAGUGUAGAGGUGAAAUUCGUAGAUAUUCGCAGGAACACCAGUGGCGAAGGCGGCUCACUGGCCCGGUACUGACGCUGAGGUGCGAAAGCGUGGGGAGCAAACAGG